UCAGAACAUGGGUGAUAAGGUCCGUGUUCGAAAGGGAAACAGCCCAGACCACCAGCUAAGGUCCCAAAAUAUAUGUUAAGUGGAAAAGGAUGUGGCGUUGCCCAGACAACUAGGAUGUUGGCUUAGAAGCAGCCAUCAUUUAAAGAGUGCGUAAUAGCUCACUAGUCGAGUGACACUGCGCCGAAAAUGUACCGGGGCUAAACAUAUUACCGAAGCUGUGGAUUGUCCUUUGGACAAUGGUAGGAGAGCGUUCUAAGGGCGUUGAAGCAUGAUCGUAAGGACAUGUGGAGCGCUUAGAAGUGAGAAUGCCGGUGUGAGUAGCGAAAGACGGGUGAGAAUCCCGUCCACCGAUUGACUAAGGUUUCCAGAGGAAGGCUC
rnacentral:rRNA from 1 species